rnacentral:lncRNA from 1 species
GGAGCUUACCCUUCAUCUAUCCAUCUUAGUUUCUCGCUCCUUCAAAGAAAAACCACCAAAAAGCAGGUUCCAUACCUGCAAAAAUGCAACAUUAUCUCGAUGAGAACCAAUAAGGUGCGAAACCCUAGUUAAACCACGCCAACGACGCUACUCUCAAACCACCCUAAACUAGUCCAUAUUCUCCACCCAAAAACGACCUCAAAACGUCACUCAAAUCCACUCACAAAACGAGCUGAAAAAAGUGCCAAACACUACUGAUAUCUCCAGCAUAACAGCCCCCAUGAACCCCCACCAAACAGCCAUGAAGCUGGCUACAAAAGCUUCGUAUAGUUGUCCAAAAAACAGCAACAAAAAAUGCAGCCAAACCCAGCUGCGAAAUAGUCCCACAAUGACCUCCAAG